UACGUAGGGUGCGAGCGUUGCCCGGAAUUAUUGGGCGUAAAGAGCGUGUAGGCGGCCAUUCAGGUCAGCUGUGAAAACUCGAGGCUCAACCUCGAGACGUCGGUUGAAACCGUUUGGCUAGAGUCCGGAAGAGGAGAGUGGAAUUCCCGGUGUAGCGGUGAAAUGCGCAGAUAUCGGGAAGAACACCCGUGGCGAAGGCGGCUCUCUGGGACGGUACUGACGCUGAGACGCGAAAGCGUGGGGAGCGAACAGG
rnacentral:rRNA from 1 species